AGUCGAGCGGAUGAGAGGAGCUUGCUCCUGGAUUCAGCGGCGGACGGGUGAGUAAUGCCUAGGAAUCUGCCUGGUAGUGGGGGACAACGUUUCGAAAGGAACGCUAAUACCGCAUACGUCCUACGGGAGAAAGCAGGGGACCUUCGGGCCUUGCGCUAUCAGAUGAGCCUAGGUCGGAUUAGCUAGUUGGUGAGGUAAUGGCUCACCAAGGCGACGAUCCGUAACUGGUCUGAGAGGAUGAUCAGUCACACUGGAACUGAGACACGGUCCAGACUCCUACGGGAGGCAGCAGUGGGGAAUAUUGGACAAUGGGCGAAAGCCUGAUCCAGCCAUGCCGCGUGUGUGAAGAAGGUCUUCGGAUUGUAAAGCACUUUAAGUUGGGAGGAAGGGCAGUAACUUAAUACGUUGCUGUUUUGACGUUACCGACAGAAUAAGCACCGGCUAACUCUGUGCCAGCAGCCGCGGUAAUACAGAGGGUGCAAGCGUUAAUCGGAAUUACUGGGCGUAAAGCGCGCGUAGGUGGUUCGUUAAGUUGGAUGUGAAAUCCCCGGGCUCAACCUGGGAACUGCAUUCAAAACUGUCGAGCUAGAGUAUGGUAGAGGGUGGUGGAAUUUCCUGUGUAGCGGUGAAAUGCGUAGAUAUA
rnacentral:rRNA from 1 species